rnacentral:rRNA from 1 species
UGGGGAAUUUUGGACAAUGGGCGCAAGCCUGAUCCAGCCAUGCCGCGUGCAGGAUGAAGGCCUUCGGGUUGUAAACUGCUUUUGUACGGAACGAAAAGGUGCCUUCUAAUAAAGGGCGCUCAUGACGGUACCGUAAGAAUAAGCACCGGCUAACUACGUGCCAGCAGCCGCGGUAAUACGUAGGGUGCGAGCGUUAAUCGGAAUUACUGGGCGUAAAGCGUGCGCAGGCGGUUUUGUAAGACAGAGGUGAAAUCCCCGGGCUCAACCUGGGAACUGCCUUUGUGACUGCAAGGCUGGAGUGCGGCAGAGGGUGAUGGAAUUCCGCGUGUAGCAGUGAAAUGCGUAGAUAUGCGGAGGAACACCGAUGGCGAAGGCAAUCCCCUGGGCCUGCACUGACGCUCAUGCACGAAAGCGUGGGGAGCAAACA